rnacentral:rRNA from 1 species
CCUACGGGAGGCAGCAGUGAGGAAUAUUGGUCAAUGGACGUAAGUCUGAACCAGCCAUGCCGCGUGCAGGAAGACGGCUCUAUGAGUUGUAAACUGCUUUUAUCAGGGAGCAAAGGGCGCCACGUGUGGCGCUUUGCGAGUACCUGAAGAAAAAGCAUCGGCUAAAUCCGUGCAAGCAGCAGCGGUAAUACGGAGGAUGCGAGCGUUAUCUGGGUUUAUUGGGUUUAAAGGGUGCGAGGGCGGAAUGUAAAGUCAGCGGUAAAAUUUCGGGGUUAAACCCCGUCGUGUCGUUGACACUGGCGUUCUUGAGUGAGCGAGAAGUAUGCGGAAUGCGUGGUGUAGCGGUGAAAUGCAUAGAGAUCACGAAGAACUCCGAUUGCGAAGGCAGCAUACGGGCGCUCAACUGACGCUCAUGCACGAAAGCGUGGGUAUCGAACAGGAUUAGAUACCCUAGUAGUC